UGCUGGAGGUAUCAGAAGUGCGAAUGCUGACAUAAGUAACGAUAAAGCGGGUGAAAAGCCCGCUCGCCGGAAGACCAAGGGUUCCUGUCCAACGUUAAUCGGGGCAGGGUGAGUCGACCCCUAAGGCGAGGCCGAAAGGCGUAGUCGAUGGGAAACGGGUUAAUAUUCCCGUACUUGGUGUUACUGCGAAGGGGGGACGGAGAAGGCUAUGUUGGCCGGGCGACGGUUGUCCCGGUUUAAGCGUGUAGGUGUGUGUUCCAGGUAAAUCCGGUUCACUUUAACACUGAGGCGUGAYGACGAGGCACUACGGUGCUGAAGCAACAAAUGCCCUGCUUCCAGGAAAAGCCUCUAAGCAUCAGGUAACAUCAAAUCGUACCCCAAACCGACACAGGUGGUCAGGUAGAGAAUACCAAGGCGCUUGAGAGAACUCGGGUGAAGGAACUAGGCAAAAUGGUGCCGUAACUUCGGGAGAAGGCACGCUGACACGUAGGUGAAGUGAUUUACUCACGGAGCUGAAGUCAGUCGAAGAUACCAGCUGGCUGCAACUGUUUAUUAAAAACACAGCACUGUGCAAACACGAAAGUGGACGUAUACGGUGUGACGCCUGCCCGGUGCCGGAAGGUUAAUUGAUGGGGUCAGCGCAAGCGAAGCUCCUGAUCGAAGCCCCGGUAAACGGCGGCCGUAACUAUAACGGUCCUAAGGUAGCGAAAUUCCUUGUCGGGUAAGUUCCGACCUGCACGAAUGGCGUAAUGAUGGCCAGGCUGUCUCCACCCGAGACUCAGUGAAAUUGAACUCGCUGUGAAGAUGCAGUGUACCCGCGGCAAGACGGAAAGACCCCGUGAACCUUUACUAUAGCUUGACACUGAACAUUGAGCCUUGAUGUGUAGGAUAGGUGGGAGGCUUUGAAGUGUGGACGCCAGUCUGCAUGGAGCCGACCUUGAAAUACCACCCUUUAAUGUUUGAUGUUCUAACGUGGACCCGUWAYCCGGGUUGCGGACAGUGUCUGGUGGGUAGUUUGACUGGGGCGGUCUCCUCCUAAAGAGUAACGGAGGAGCACGAAGGUUGGCUAAUCCUGGUCGGACAUCAGGAGGUUAGUGCAAUGGCAUAAGCCAGCUUGACUGCGAGCGUGACGGCGCGAGCAGGUGCGAAAGCAGGUCAUAGUGAUCCGGUGGUUCUGAAUGGAAGGGCCAUCGCUCAACGGAUAAAAGGUACUCCGGGGAUAACAGGCUGAUACCGCCCAAGAGUUCAUAUCGACGGCGGUGUUUGGCACCUCGAUGUCGGCUCAUCACAUCCUGGGGCUGAAGUAGGUCCCAAGGGUAUGGCUGUUCGCCAUUUAAAGUGGUACGCGAGCUGGGUUUAGAACGUCGUGAGACAGUUCGGUCCCUAUCUGCCGUGGGCGCUGGAGAACUGAGGGGGGCUGCUCCUAGUACGAGAGGACCGGAGUGGACGCAUCACUGGUGUUCGGGUUGUCAUGCCAAUGGCACUGCCCGGUAGCUAAAUGCGGAAGAGAUAAGUGCUGAAAGCAUCUAAGCACGAAACUUGCCCCGAGAUGAGUUCUCCCUGAGACUUA
rnacentral:rRNA from 1 species